UACGUAGGGGGCGAGCGUUGUCCGGAUUUAUUGGGCGUAAAGAGCUCGUAGGCGGUUUGGUAAGUUGGAUGUGAAAUCUCCAGGCUCAACUUGGAGGGGUCAUUCGAUACUGCCAUGACUAGAGUUCGGUAGGGGAGUGUGGAAUUCCUGGUGGAGCGGUGAAAUGCGCAGAUAUCAGAAGGAACACCCGUAGCGAAGGCGGCACUCUGGGCCGGAACUGACGCUGAGGAGCGAAAGCGUGGGGAGCGAACAGG
rnacentral:rRNA from 1 species